CAGCCGCGGUAAUACGUAGGUGGCGAGCGUUGUCCGGAAUUAUUGGGCGUAAAGGGAGCGCAGGCGGGAGGUCAAGUCUAUCUUAAAAAGUGCGGGGCUCAACCCCGUGAGGGGAUGGAAACUGGUCUUCUUGAGUGCAGGAGAGGAAAGCGGAAUUCCUAGUGUAGCGGUGAAAUGCGUAGAUAUUAGGAGGAACACCAGUGGCGAAGGCGGCUUUCUGGACUGUAACUGACGCUGAGGCUCGAAAGCGUGGGGAGCGA
rnacentral:rRNA from 1 species